GACCCAUUUAUACCUUCUCUUUGUAUUCAAAGUUCCACCGCAUAAUUACUUUGUCACAGUAGGUUAAUAAAAGUUAUAAUUAAGAUCUGAAUUAAAUUAAUUUAAAAAUUAAAUGAUUUGAUUAUAUUAAAUAAAAAGUAAAAAAAAUUAUUUUUUUAAUUUUAUUUUUUUUUGUGUAAUUAAAGAAAACGGAAAGAUUCAAAUACGAUACAUA
rnacentral:lncRNA from 1 species